AGAAAAGUUUGAGCGCGAGCAGCGGGAAGCAGCACCGAAGAGAGGCAGCACGGAGGACUGCAGAAAGUUGGACCUAGCGGCAACAGUCAGCCUCAUUGGACUUACUUUUCAAGAAGUUACGACAGAGUAAAGGAAGACAACUGGGGAUGUGAUGAAGAUAUCAGGACGAGUCUGAUGAGCCAGAGCUUGAUGGUGUUGCAGUGGCCCUCCUUACUGUCAUCAGUGACCAUAACACAAGUCCAGUUCACCACCAGCCUGUGAAAAUCUCUGUUGUCAUUGAAAGUGAUGCCGUGGUCAGUCUCCCCAGAUUUGGCGAUGCCUUCCUGGUAUUGUUUGGACUCAUCUAUGCACUACACCUCAGCUAUCCCAAAGCACUGACCAACACUUUUGAAUUCACUCAAAAGAUUUUACUUGGUCUAGAAAGUGGUAAACUGUCACCCAGGUUGCAGACCCUCAAGAAUGAGUUGAUGUAGAAACUCAUCUGAAAGAAGAAUGCAGGGUAAAGCAUUUCAAAGUAGUUGAGUAGCAGUUCAAAGUUCUCUUUUUGUCUAAAUACUGCCUCAAAGGGUACUGUACUCUGCAGGUGUUCAGCCAAUAGGCCCAAACUACACAAUGUGCCUUUGUUCUCAUUAAUAUAAUGCAAAAGUAACACUAAUGUUUUGUAUGGUUUAAUGUUUUUCGUAAUGAUAUUUCUCAACCAUUGUGGGCUGUGCAAGAUGACCCAAAUUUCACUGUACAUUUGUUACUGGUUAAUGUAAAAACAAUUACAUUUCAGAGUUUUAAGUGAAAAUGUUCUUAAACAGUCUAUAGCAUUACUGUAAAUUCAUCCAAAUUGCUGCCCUGUUGCCUUACUCAGGUAUUAG